CGGCACGCCUAACACAUGCAAGUCGAACGAAGUAGCAAUACUUAGUGGCAGACGGGUGAGUAACAUGUAGGUAUCUACCCUUUGGCCUGGAAUAACACGAGGAAACUUGUGCUAAUACUGGAUAAGUCUUUACGGAGAAAGCUUUAUGCACCAUUGGAUGAGCCUGCACUUGAUUAGUUUGUUGGUGGGGUAAUGGCCUACCAAGACUUUGAUCAAUAGCUGAUUUGAGAGGAUGAUCAGCCACAUUGGGACUGAGACACGGCCCAAACUCCUACGGGAGGCAGCAGUGGGGAAUCUUGCACAAUGGAGGAAACUCUGAUGCAGCGAUGCCGCGUGAGUGAAGAAGGCCCUUGGGUUGUAAAGCUCUUUCGUCGGGGAAGAAAAUGACUGUACCCGAAUAAGAAGGUCCGGCUAACUUCGUGCCAGCAGCCGCGGUAAUACGAAGGGACCUAGCGUAGUUCGGAAUUACUGGGCUUAAAGAGUUCGUAGGUGGUUGAAAAAGUUGGUGGUGAAAUCCCAGAGCUUAACUCUGGAACUGCCAUCAAAACUUUUCAGCUAGAGUAUGAUAGAGGAAAGCAGAAUUUCUAGUGUAGAGGUGAAAUUCGUAGAUAUUAGAAAGAAUACCAAUUGCGAAGGCAGCUUUCUGGAUCAUUACUGACGCUGAGGAACGAAAGCAUGGGUAGCGAAGAGGAUUAGAUACCCUCGUAGUCCAUGCCGUAAACGAUGUGUGUUAGACGUUGGAAAUUUAUUUUCAGUGUCGCAGUGAAAGCGAUAAACACACCGCCUGGGGAGUACG
rnacentral:rRNA from 1 species